rnacentral:lncRNA from 1 species
UGAUCUUCAUCCUGUUCGUCCUUUGUCAUUAUCUUACUUCAUCAAAAAGUUUGAGAGAGGUCCUAUUGUGCCCCGAGGUGAGGGGAAUGCUGCAAGGGAGGAAGCUUUGAGGGAAGAAGAAGAGAUUAAUCGGUUUGAAGAGGGUAAUCAUCCGGAUCAACAGGGGGAUCCGGUACAUGAGAAUCACGAUAUACCAGCUCAGGAC